rnacentral:misc_RNA from 1 species
AUGUGCCGGUUGUGGCUAUCCUAUCCGUGACAAAUACUUGUUCAAAAUAAAUGACAAUGUCUGGCACGAAAACUGUCUGCAGUGCGCCAUCUGUCGCCUGUCCCUGUCAGGAACUUGCUACAGCAAGAACGGUCACCUCUACUGCAAAUCUGACUACGACAAAUUAUUCCGCGGGCGGUGCAGCGGCUGCGGAUUCAGCAUAAACCCCCACGAGUUGGUCCGCCGAGUGUACUCGAACACCUAUCACCUGCCCUGUUUCCGAUGCGUGGAGUGCGGGCACGUGUUACAAGAUGGUAACGAGUUCUACAUCAGAGACGGCCAGAUCUUCUGUCGAUAUGACCAUGAUAAGGAAUUCCACAUACCCUCGUUCAGCCCCAAAGUAGAUGAAGACAGCGAUAGCUAUGAAGAUUUUGAUUUGGAUGUCGACCGCCAGGCCAAACGGCCAAGAACAAUUCUUACGACAAGUCAACGAAGAAAAUUCAAACAAGCAUUUGAGGCCAACCCGAAACCGUGCCGAAAGGUUCGGGAACAACUAGCAGCAGAAACAGGGCUAACUAUACGAGUAGUUCAAGUUUGGUUUCAGAAUCAAAGAGCAAAGGUAUGCAUUGUCAUGUGGUUAAGAAAACUUCGCGGAAGGGCGGCAAAGACACAAAUGAAAAAGGUAGAAAACGAAAAUUACGAAGCGAAGACGGAGAGAAAGACGGAUAUCGUGAGUUUGAUGACAUGAACAAACCCACAUCUGACAACGAAGGUUCGAUGUAUUCCAAUAUGGACAGCAGCGGAAACAUGUUUCUUGAGAUGCCCACCUCUGAUGACUCUGUGGAAUCGCCCGUCCCCCAAAGAAUAGACAACUGUCAGGACGCCAACACAGCGUGUCCUACCAAUCACAUCAACAAACUGUAUUCAAUGCAGACCUCUUAUUUUUGUGCGGAGUAGUGUGAAUGACGUCAUCAUCGGUUCCGCCUAUUUAUUCCGCCCAAAAUCGUUACACUGGUGCAUUACACAAAUGAAUGAUCGCUCAUGUACAUAUUUAUAAAUUUUCUAUUUAUUGCUUGAUUGCCGAUUUUCAGCCAUAUUAUCUCAUGUGAUGAGAUGUCGUUUUUUAUGUCCAGGUGCACUUGAAGUAGUUUAUGCUUCUGUUGUUGUUAUGUGUAAAGUUCUCAAUGGGGUAAACUGUUCCACGUUUCCAUGUGAUCAUAUACAUGUACAUUGAUAUUCUGCAUAUUUCGCUCUGAUAUCACACUGGUUCUCAUUAAAUGGGUUCAUUGAUGUAUAACUCUGUCACGCUCACAAACUUUUCAUCCAUCCAGCUUGUCUACCCUCUUCAUAUCUGUACCCAUCAAUUUUAUUUAUGAUAGAAAAUCUGCGGUACAUCCCCAAAACAUUUUAAACAAACAUGUCUUUGUUAAUUUAACUAUACAUUGAUCCCGUUAUUGUUCGUUUCGUCAUUGUGAGUUAGUAAGACACCUGGUCGAUCUAUCAAAAGAAUUUGCGUCGAUAACUUUUACUGUAUUGUACAAAUAUUUUGUAGUAUUUAUUAUUUCUUUAUCGAAUAAAAAGAAAAUUCGUG